GUAAAUAUCAAGGAGGAACUUUGGUGGGGAAGGCGACCGUCUAGUCCGGUACUGACGCUGAGGCACGAAAGCUAGGGGAGCGAACAGGAGUAGAUACCGUGGUAGUCCUCGCCGUUAACGAUGGGCAUUAGGUGUCGGAGGAGUGUACCCCUUCGGUACAGCAGGUAAUGCAUUAAGUGCCCCACGUGGGGAGUACGAUAGCAAGGUUGAUACUCAAAGGAAUUGACGGGGGGCUGCACAAGCGGUGGAGCAUGUGGUUUAAUUCGAUGCAACGAGAAGAACCUUACGUGGGCUUGUCACGCAGGGGACAGGUGCAGAAAUGUACCCUUCUUCGGACCCCUGUGCAGGUGGUGCAUGGCCGUCGUCAGUUUGUGUCGUGAAAUGUUGGGUUAAGCCCCGCAACGAUCACAACCCCUGUGUUCAGUUGCCUUCAGUUUGGUUGGGGAUUUUGGAGAGACUGCCGGUGACAAACCGGAGGAAGGGGGGGACGACGGCAAGUCAUCAUGGCCCUUACGCCCCUGGCUACCCCCCUGUUACAAUUGUCGGUACAAAGGGCAGCACUACCCUGAGAGGGGAGGAAUCCCAAAAACCCCGCUUCAGUUCGGAUUGGAGUGUGCAACUCGACUUCAUGAAGUUGGAAUUGGUGGUUAUCGGCUGUUAGCAUGACGCGGUGAAUACGUUUCCGGGCCCGGUACA
rnacentral:rRNA from 1 species